UACGUAGGGUGCAAGCGUUACUCGGAAUUACUGGGCGUAAAGCGUGCGCAGGCGGCUUUGCAAGACAGAUGUGAAAUCCCCGGGCUCAACCUGGGAACUGCAUUUGUGACUGCAAGGCUGGAGUACGGUAGAGGGGGAUGGAAUUCCGCGUGUAGCAGUGAAAUGCGUAGAUAUGCGGAGGAACACCGAUGGCGAAGGCAAUCCCCUGGACCUGUACUGACGCUCAUGCACGAAAGCGUGGGGAGCAAACAGG
rnacentral:rRNA from 1 species